rnacentral:rRNA from 1 species
CCUUCGGGGUGCAGCAGUGAGGAAUAUUGGUCAAUGGGCGCGAGCCUGAACCAGCCAAGUCGCGUGAGGGAAGACGGUCCUAUGGAUUGUAAACCUCUUUUGUCGGGGAGCAAAAGACGCCACGCGUGGCGUUCUGCGAGUACCUGAAGAAAAAGCAUCGGCUAACUCGGUGCCAGCAGUCGCGGUAAUACGGAGGAUGCGAGCUUUAUCCGGAUUUAUUGGGUUUAAAGGGAGCGCGGGCGGAAGAGCAAGUCAGAGGUAAAAUUGAGCCGCUCAACCUCUUCGAGCCGUUGAAACUGGUUUUCUUGAGUGAGCGAGAAGUAUGCGGAAUGCGGGGUGUAGCGGGGAAAUGCAUAGAUAUCACGCAGAACUCCGAUUGCGAAGGCAGCAUACCGGCGCUCAACUGACGCUCAUGCACGAAAGUGUGGGUAUCGAACAGGAUUAGAUACCCUUGUAGUC